AAAAGGAUAUUUGUUAAAUCAAUUUAAUUUGAAUUUAAAGGUUUAUUAAUGUAAUUUAGUGGAAAUAUAUUUUAUUUUAUAAAAUAAAUUGUAAAAAUUUUAUUUAUUAUAGUUAAAUAGUAUUGUAAGAGAAUAUAGUUAAAUGUAUAAAAAAAAAGUAUUUUUUGUACCUUGUGUAUCAGUGGUUAUUAAUAAAUUAUUUUAUAUAAAAUUAUUCUCGAUUUAAAAAGAGUUAAUUAAUUAUUGAUUUUAAUGUUGAAAAAUUAUUUAUAAUAAUUAAUUAGUAAUUAAAUGUUAUUAGAUUUUUAAUAUAUCUAGUUUUUAUAGAAAAAAAUUUAAUUUUAUUAAUUAUUAUAUAGAUAAUUAUUUAGAAUUAUUUUAUUAAUAAUUAAUUAGUUAUUUUAGGAUAAGUUAAAAUAAUAAUUAUUAUAAAUUUACUUAUAUAAAUAAAUUAAUAUAAUUAGAAAUUUUAAUUUUUUAUAGUUUGUUGUAAUAAAUUUAUUUUUAUAGGAAAUUUAUAUAAUACAAUUUUAAAUUUUUUAUAUAAAAAUCAAUUUAAAUAUUUAAAUUUAGUUAUUAUGAUAAUAUUAGUAUAAUAAAAUUUAAUUAUAAUUUUUUAUAAUAAUUAAAAUUAAAUAAUUCGGCAAAAAAAUUUUUCACCUGUUUAUUAAAAACAUGUCUUAUUGAAAAUAAUUUUAAGUCAAAUCUGCCCACUGAAGAAAAUUUAAAUGGCUGCAGUAUUUUGACUGUACAAAGGUAGCAUAAUAAUUAGUUUCUUAAUUAGAAGCUUGUAUGAAUGAUUUAAUGAAAAAAUAACUGUUUCAGUUUUAAUUUUAAAAUUUUAUUUUUAAGUUAAAAAGCUUAAUUAAAUUUAAAAGACGAGAAGACCCUUUAGAGUUUAAUAUAAACUAGAUAAAAUUUAUUUUAUAUAAAUUUAACUUUAAAUUUAAUUUAUUAUAAUUUAUUGGGGUGAUAUAAAAAAUUAUUUAACUUUUUAUAAUAAAUAACAUUAAUUUAUGAUUGUUUGAUCCAUAUUAAAUGAUUAUAAGAUAAAAUUACCUAAGGGAUAACAGCGUAAUAUUUUUUUAGAGUUCAUAUUAAAAAAAAUGAUUGCGACCUCGAUGUUGGAUUAAAAUUUAUUUUUGGUGCAAAAUUUAAGAUAUUUGGUCUGUUCGACCAUUAAAAUUUUACAUGAUCUGAGUUUAGACCGGCGUAAGCCAGGUUGGUUUCUAUCUUUAAAUUUAUAUAAAUAUUUUAGUACGAAAGGACCAAAUAUUUUUAAUAAUUAUUAAUAAAGAGUUAUUUUGGCAGAAU
rnacentral:rRNA from 1 species